CAUAUAUCCAUUAAUAACUGUCAUUUUAAACACCCACACCUCCCCCCCCCACACACACAGACAUACUCCCUACAUAAAACAUAUUUCUAAAAGUUGUUCAAUAACUGGAGGAGGAAUGGCCUUUCUUGUUUCAUGAGGUUGGCAGUCCACUUCCAUAAACUCACUCGGGUGUCACUGAAAGAGACCUUCCUUAACACUCUGGAGAAAAGGGGAUAACGGCUGCUGGAUUUCAUGCGAAACACUUGUGCUGAUAAGAGCAAAAGGCAGUCACAAGACUAAAAAUACUCAGAGGACAGUUGGAAGACUGCUCAGAGGAUAUGAAGGACAUGGUCCUUCUUCUGCUGUCCUAUUUUGAUGAAAAAGAGAAGAAUCUAUUUCAUCAUGUUGAAGAAACAUGUCUGGCACAUGAGGUUCAAGUGGAAAACCUGCCAGUAACUCCAAUGUAUCAUCGUCUGUGGAUCUUCUUGCUAUUCUUCAAGCCGAUUCAUGCUUGCUGUAGACUAAAGUUGUAAAUGACAACAUUCUCACCGUCAUUUCUGCCAUCUGUGUGAUGUUUGCAUUUUACUACUGCCUCAGUAUUCACUAUCCUGUGAACCUUUCCUCAGCGCUCGACUUCCUUCAGAGGUGCUUCUUCACCAUCAAUCCAGAAAAGGGCACAAAGGUGGAAAAAAAAGAAGCAACUGUCUGUGAACCCAAGAAUUCUCACCCUUAUUGCAAAUCUCUUGGAUCACGAGUGGUGAGAGGCAUGUUAAAGAUGGACUUAUUGCACUUCUGUUAAGUCUCAGCUCUUACACAUUACUGGCUAUUUUAUGUGUUUACUCUAACAUAGCAGUUACCCACUGACAUUGAAAGUAUUAUUUUUCUUGUUGCUUCUGAAAGUAGGUGUGUUUUUAUAAGAACAGUCAUUUAAUAUUGUUCAGAACUGGCUUUCAACUGUCUUCAGAAUUGGUUUCAACUGUUAGAAGUUUUGGGCAUUUGUUUACUGUAAAGUUUAAAGGACAAAUAACAUACUUAUUAGGAAAAAUGACUAGAUUUUGAAGCAAUGGCAACAAUUCUUAUUGGUUGGGUUUAAUUUUUGUGCACUGAAUAAUAGUUACUGGCAAGGUCAACAGCAAAGUUUUUUUGUAAUUUUCUAUUUGUAUUUGAUGCUACAAUAAGUUAUGUGUCAUGCCCGGCUCGUCCGAUCCUCGUGUGUGCCACGCCCCCUGAUUAUCCAUGUGUGCUUCCCCGAUCAUGCCCAGCUGUUUCCUAUUAUUUUCGCCCUGUCUUGUGUAUAUCAGUCCGCAUCUUCCACAGUCGUGUGUCCAUCAUUAACGUUGUGAUGUUAUGAUGUUAGUGUGUAGCCGUCUCCGCCCUCAAUAAAUCCCCGGUUUUCCCCGUCGUUGGCCUGCCUGCCUCUUCCUGCCCUGCUUCCUGCCUGCCUGUUUGCCCGUCCAGCCCUGCGGUUCAUAACAUUAUGUGCAAAAAAAGAUUAAUUUUUAUCUUCUAAGAAUGUGAAUUUGUUGUUUUUUCUUCAGGAAAACGGGAUAUUUUUAUUUUAUAUAUUUAUUUUUAAUUUGUGAAGGAAAAAAACACUUGAAUUCAGAUUUUUUUUAAUGUAAAAUUGUUUUAUAUAUAAAUUCUGUGUUGAACGUCAAGUUGACAAUUUUAGCAAUGAACACAUUUUAAUUUACUUGGUUCUUCUGGUUGCUCUUUCAUUUGAAUUGAUCUAUUAUAAUUAUAUGGCAAAAAGUAGCUGAGUUAUUAAACAUGACAGCUAACAUGUUAAAAUAAAAUAUCAUUGCAAAAGUGUUUGACCCUGAUCCUUCAGAGUACAUUUAAAGCUUCUAUUAUUCCUAAGAUAGAAGGAUCUUCUUUUGAAGGUGAGUAACACAUACCUACGUACGGAUGUGCGUUACAAUAAAAGAAAGAGGUACGUAUCCAUCCCACAUAAGCUAACUCAUUGCCAUAUCCUAAGCAAUUUUUUUUGUAAAUUUGUGAUAGCACUGAUAAUUAGCCUUUUUUCUACAUUUUUAUUAGUAACACAAUUUACUGUAAUAUUUAGACUUAUUUUUCAAUGUUUUAUUGUUAGCAACAAUUUUUUAUGCUUGCUGUAGGCUUCACUGAGCAGCCUAGUGUUAUGACCUGAGCGUCCAGUCCUCGUGUGUGCCACACCCCCCUGAUCAUCCAUGGUGCAAUCCACCACCAGAACUGCGAGCGGGAGGAAAAAGAGGAGGAAAUGGACAGAGAGAAUACACUCACCGGCCACUUUAUUAGGCACACAUGUCCAACUGCUCGUUGACACAAAUUACUGAUCAGCCAAUCACAUGCUGGCAACUCAAUGCAUUUAGGCAUGUAGACAUGGUCAAGAUGAACCGCUGCAGUUCAAACUGAGCUUCAGAAUGGGGAAGAAAGGUGAUUUAAGUGACUUUGAACGUGGCAUGGUUGUUGGUGCCAGACGGGCUGGUCUGCGUAUUGCAGGAACUGCUGAUCUUCUGGGAUUGUCACGCACAACCAUCUCUAGGGUUUACAGAGAAUGGUCCGGAAAAGGGAAAACAUCCAGUGAGCAGCAGUUUUGUGGGCGAAAAUGCCUUGUUGAUGCCAGAGGUCAGAGGAGAAUGGCCAGAGUUGUUCGAGCUGAUAGAAAGGUAACAGUAACUCAAAUAACCACUCGUAACAACCAAGGUAUGCAGAAGAGCAUCUCCAAACGCACAACACAUCGAACCUUGAGGCAGAUGGGCUACAGCAGCAGAAGACCACACCGGGUGCCACUCCUGUCAGCAAAGAACAGGAAACUGAGGCUACAAUUCGCACAGGCUCACCGAAAUUGGACAAUAGAAGAUUGGAAAAAUGUUGCCUGGUCUGAUGAGUCUCGAUUUCUGCUGCGACAUUUGAAUGGUAGGGUCAGAAUUUGGCAUCAACAACAUGAAAGCAUGGAUACAUCCUGCCUUGUAUCAAUGGUUCAGGCUGGUGGUGGUGUAAUGUGUGGGGGACAUUUUCUUGGCACACUUUGGGCCCCUUAGUACUAACUGAUCAUCAUUGCAACACCACAGCCUACCUGAGUAUUGUUGCUGACCAUGUCUAUCCCUUUAUGACCACAGUGUACCCAUCUUCUGAUGGCUACUUCCAGCAGGAUAAUGUACCAUGUCAUAUAGCGCAAAUCAUCUCAGACUGGUUUCUUGAACAUGACAAUGAGUUCACUGUACUCAAAUGGCCUCCACAAUCACCAAAUCUCAAUCUAAUAGAGCACCUUUGGGAUGUGGUGGAAUGGGAGAUUCGCAUCAUGGAUGACAAAUGUGCAGCAACUGCAUGAUGCUAUCAUGUCAAUAUGGACCAAUAUCUCUGAGGAAUGUUUCCAGUACCUUGUUGAAUCUAUGCCAUGAAGGAGUACGGCGGUUCUGAAGACAAAAGGGGGUCCAACCCAGUACUAGCAAGGUGUACCUAAUAAAGUGGCUGGUGUAGAGGUAGCCCGGACUGUUCUUCUGGGAGCCGCUUCUCUCUCCCCGCCUCUCUCGCUGCUGGGAGGACUCCCCGAUCACACCAGACGUCCCCCUUCUGGUGAACGUGCCUAGCUUUAAAUGGGGCCAGGGCGAUUUGGGAUGCUAUCCUGUGGAUCCUGCAGGCUUUUAAAGGGGCAACGCCCGCUUGUGAGGCAGCCAGACUGGAGACCGUGCCUGAUCUGCCUGUCCUGCCGGCGUCUGAUCUGCCUGUCCUGCUGGCGCCUGUCCUGCCUGAUGCGUCACCCAGCACAGUGCUGGCCACUGCGCCACCCCCUGCUGGCUCAGAGUGGCGCCUGCCACGGCCCUGCCUCCAGAUAGGGCUCCGCACCCUGCUUCUGCUGUCACACCGCCUGUUGCACCGACUGGGGUCCAGGCUCCACCCGCUGUACCAUCCGGGGUCCCAGCUCCGCCCGCUGCUCCGCCCAGGGUCCCGACUCUGCUCACUGCUCUGCCCGGGGUCCUUCUGCCUCUGCCCGCAGCUCCUGCGGCUACCUCUAUGACUCUGGCUGCAAGGAAAAGAAUGCUAAUCUACACCGAGCAUCUGAAGAACAGCAUGCAAGUCCUCAAGCACAUUGGAUCCAAAACCUGUUCCAGAUUCUCGGACACCAUCUGUUUUCCAUGCUGAAUACCCUCCACUGUCAAUUCUGGAUAAAAAGACACGUUAUGCUAGAUCAACCACUGCAAGUAUCAAGUAUAUUAAAUUCUAUUAGUCUAUGUUUAUUACUUUGUUUUUGUUCUGUUUUGAAAGCUUCAAGCGCUGUUAGGUAAAAUUAACAGGUUAUUGUGUAAGUUUGGUAUUAUUCAGGGAA